AUGAUGAAACGUCAUUAUAAAUAAGUCAUAUGUUUAAUUUAUUAUGUUUUUACCUGUGCCAAACACCUGGCUCUGUUUUGAACUGCCUAGCCAGCCUGUGAUGCAGCAGAUCAUGUCAGACUCACAGUGACCACCUGACCAGAGACUCGCUGUGGUACUCAUACCUUUGCCCUGCUGCUGCCUAAUCCCUGAGCCAGGCAUUGUGAGUGGGCUGAAACCCUCAUCCCAGCCAUCCAUUCACAGAUAGAGCUAUCUGCCAGUGGUCGCCCCAUCCCCAGCCCCAUGGCCCUGCUGCCCAUAUUGAGCAAACAGGACGAACAAACAGCGGGGAGUGCCUCAGAUAGGUCCCCCUGCCUCCGCCCAGCGCCCAGGACGUGAGCAAACACUCCAGCCUGCAGAACAAAGGGGGAUGAAUAAUCGGAGGGAAAUGUCAACGUUUCAUCAUGGCUGCCCUGGCCCGGAUAUUUUGCCAGUAGCGCUGUGGAACAUCCAGGUGCACU